AGGGGAGCAAGGGUUGAAAAACUGUUGGGUACUGUGCUCACUACCUGGUUGACAGGAUCACUUGUACUCCAAACCUCAGCAUCAUGCAAUAUAUAUCUAGUUAAUAAACCUGCACAUGUACCAUCUAAAAGUAAAAAGAAGCAAAUUUAAAAAAAAAAAAACAAAAAAACAGACCCCUCCCCACCAGUCUCCUGGUUCUUUUUGAAGGUGGCUGUGGUCAGACUAUUCCAGCAGGUUCCUCAGUGCUUCAUGCUGUUCAUCAAACCUGGAUCCAUCUGGACCUACCAUUUAUGUCAUUUAUUGUUAUAAAAAAUAAUACAUAUUCUCUUGACACCUUAUAAUUAGAGUUCAUUUAAGUCCUUUUUAUCAACUCCAUUAGAGUACUUGUCUGGUGUCGAGAGUUUUGGUAGUUCCAGUAUAUGUGCUUGUUUUGUUUCUUCCACUGGAUCUCAAGAAGGAACAAAUUAUUUUGGUGUCUUAUAGAACAAAUUCAGAUUGUACUAGAUUAGAAGGAAUUUAUUUUGAUGUUAUUUUGGAGAAAAGACUUACUUGGGACUUGGGUGGAAGUGGAGUUCAUAUGGAUGGUUUUGUUUUGAAUAAUUUCUAAGGUCUUUUAGCUCUAUCAUUUCUUGUCAGUCUCCCACCGCUAAAAUAUAACUCUAUUUACUUCGUUUUUUCACACAGAAAGAUUAUAGUGACAUAGUCUUCCUCUUACUUAAAUACAUGUCUUUUUAGGAUUCUGCCAUAGUAUUGAUUCUGCCAUGGCAUUUAUUAUGCCCAGUGACCAAGGCAUUAGAAUAUUUGUGGUACCUUUACCUUUUUAGGCCAAUAAAUAUCAUUCAUUUGCUAAAGAACAUUUCAUUAAACGAGGUACAGUUGGCUCUCCAUAUCCAUGGGUUUGGCAUCUGGAUUCAACCAACCGUGAAUUGAAAAUAUUCAGGAAGAAAUUUCACAGAGUUCCAAAAAAACCUGGAAUUUGUGGCAUGCUGAGUACUACAUUGAAUCUACACAGAUGAAGUGAUGUGUAGGCAUUCUGUUAGGUAUUAUAAGUAAUCUAGGGAUGAUUUAAAGUAUACAGGACAAUGCGAGUGGGUUAUAUGCAAAUACUACAUUAUUUUAUAUAAGAGACUUGAGCAUGUUGGGUUUUGUUAUCUUUUGGGGGAUCCUAGAACUAAUCCCCCAUGGAUACUGUGGGAUGACUGUACUUAUUUUUUAGAAAUAAUUUCUACACUAUAGCCCCUUUUUUACUCCCAGUUUCUUUCAUUUUUUUUUUUUUAGGCUUCCUAAAAUAUUGGCAGAAGCUCCAUCCUUUCUCUGUGCUUUGUUCCAAUGUUUUUAGCAUGUUUCAGCUUGUUCUACAUCCCUGGGAUAUAUAAUAAGACCUAGCCUAAAUGUAAGCUUGAUAGUUCAGGGACUAUCUUAAGUGUUAUGUUAACUUUUUUUCUUUUAAGGGAGGGAGAACAAAUUCUAAUACUAGUUAAUAGUGUCUUACCCACAGUGUGUUAUCUAAUGCCUUUCAAACUAGGGGAAAAAAAUCAGUGAACAUUAUGGUAGAUGCUAAAAUCUGCCAUUUUCUUGUAUAUUUCUGACAGUUUCAGUUACUUUGCAUUUGUAUUAUACAAUGACUAACAUCAGCCUUUUACCAUUCUUUCCUCUGGUAUUUUUCAGUAACAAAUAGUGAAUGUAUUUAGAGAUAAAAAUAAUUUUGUGACCAAA
rnacentral:lncRNA from 1 species